CUCAACUUCAGGCUGCUGUGGACUUGACCUCAAAGGAGAGCAAUGAAGACGGCUGUGCCCUCUGCCCCAUGAGACUCCAGCCAGCUGACCCUUCGAACUCCACUGAGAACAGUUCCUGCCUUCAACUUCAAGCUAAAGGGCAGAUUCUUUACCAUCUGAGCCACCAGGGAAGCCCUAGAGGAUUGAGGAGGUGCUGUCAAUUUAAAUGGUUUGCAGGUCUGAGGAGCCCCAGGCCACAUGCUCGGGCAGUACUUGGGGUGCUCUAGACCAGCUGGCACCAGGCCUGUGCCACCCUGAAGAUUCUUCCAGACUGAGUCCCAGAGCCCCAGGGAGACUGAGGCACCUCAGCCCUGCUCUUCUUCUGGAAACAGCCAUGUGUCCCAGGGCGCCUCCCACAUAGCUCACUCUGGACAGAAGACAUGGGACCUCUUCCCCAGCAGCCUCACCCGAC
ensembl:lncRNA